AAUAUUGGACAAUGGGUGUAACCCUGAUCCAGCCAUGCAGCUUGUGUGAAGAAUGUCUUCGAAUUGUAAAGUACUUUAAGUUGGGAGGAAGAGGUGUAGGCGAAUACCUUGCAAUUUUCUCGUAACCAACAGAAUAAGCACCGGCUAACUUUGUGCCAUCAGCCGGGGUAAUACGAAGGGUGCAAGCGUUAAUCGGAAUUACUGGGCGUAAAGCGCGCGUAGGUGGUUCGUUAAGUUGGAAGUGAAAGCCCCGGGCUUAACCUGGGAAUUGCUUUCAAAACUGACGAGCUAGAGUACGGUAGAGGGUAGUGGAAUUUCCUGUGUAGCGGUGAAAUGCGUAGAUAUAGGAAGGAACAUCAGUGGCGAAGGCGACUACCUGGACUGAUACUGACACUGAGGUGCGAAAGCGUGGGGAGCAAACA
rnacentral:rRNA from 1 species